UUCCUGUUCAUCACUCCCCCUCAACCCUUCACUGUUCACCACUCCAGUUUCCUCUCUUUUUUUUUGUUCAUCCUUCGUCUUCUCUUCUUCUCUAGCUUUCUCCUCUCUUUCUUUCGCCGUUCGUCUUCUCUUUUCUCCAACUUUCUCCUUUUUUUUCGUCAUUCGUCUUCUCGUCUUCUCUUCUUUUUUUUCGUUGUUCAUCUUCUCUAUGGAUUGGAAUCUGAUGUACUGGCGAUUGGUUGGUUUUCCGUUGUCAGGAAUUGGGAAUUGGAAAUGCGUGUAUUGUUGUUAUCAUUGAUGCCAAGUGCGACUUCGUUAUCAGCAAGUUGUUUGGUGCUUGAAUCUCUCGUAUUUUGGGCGUUAAUGGAUUGAAGAAUCAGGUUUUGGAUGCAAUAUUAAAGACAUUGCCAUCUGGGUUUAUGAUUUUGUUAUUAUUGACAUCUGUUUCUGCUGGCGACAACAGAUUUUCAAGAUGUAAUUGUGAUGGUGAGGAUAGUUUAUGGAGCAUUGACAGCAUUAUGGAGUGUCCGCAUGUGAACGUGAGUUUUUGUUGAAGAAGAAGACAUGGAAUCUAGGAAGAGAAGUUGGCAUGAUACUGAAGCAGAAAGAAGUUAGCUUACACGUUCGGAUGCUUACGAAAGUUGAAGAAAAUUUCAAAAUAUAUGGUAUAAAGAUAGAAGUAGGAGUUAAUAGAACCAAGUUAAUAAUAAUAAUAAUAAUAAUAAAAAGAAUUAUUGUA